rnacentral:rRNA from 1 species
AUUGAACGCUGGCGGCAUGCUUUACACAUGCAAGUCGAACGGCAGCACGGGAAAGGCUUGCCUUUUCUGGUGGCGAGUGGCGAACGGGUGAGUAACACAUCGGAACAUGCCCUGUAAUGGGGGAUAACUGAACGAAAGUUCAGCUAAUACCGCAUAAUAUCUGAGGAUGAAAGCUGGGGACCAUGAGAGUGGCCUGGCGUUAUAGGAUUGGCCGAUGGCUAAUUAGCUAGUUGGUGGGGUAAAGGCUUACCAAGGCGACGAUUAGUAGCUGGUCUGAGAGGAUGAUCAGCCACACUGGGACUGAGACACGGCCCAGACUCCUACGGGAGGCAGCAGUGGGGAAUUUUGGACAAUGGGCGCAAGCCUGAUCCAGCUAUGCCGCGUGAGUGAAGAAGGCCUUAGGGUUGUAAAGCUCUUUCGGUCGGGAAGAAGUGUGUUAGUUUAAGAGAUGAGCAUAUUGACGGUACCGACAUAAGAAGCACCGGCUAACUACGUGCCAGCAGCCGCGGUAAUACGUAGGGUGCGAGCGUUAAUCGGAAUUACUGGGCGUAAAGGGUGCGCAGGCGGUUUCAUAAGUCAGAUGUGAAAGCCCCGGGCUUAACCUGGGAAUUGCGUUUGAAACUAUGAGACUAGAGUACAGCAGAGGGGGGUGGAACUCCAUGUGUAGCAGUGAAAUGCGUAGAUAUAUGGAAGAACAUCGAUGGCGAAGGCAGCCCCCUGGGUUGAUACUGACGCUCAUGCACGAAAGCGUGGGGAGCAAACAGGAUUAGAUACCCUGGUAGUCCACGCCCUAAACGAUGUCAACUAGUUGUUGGGGGGGGAGACCCCCUUAGUAACGAAGCCAACGCGUGAAGUUGACCGCCUGGGGAGUACGGCCGCAAGGUUAAAACUCAAAGGAAUUGACGGGGACCCGCACAAGCGGUGGAUGAUGUGGAUUAAUUCGAUGCAACGCGAAGAACCUUACCUACCCUUGACAUGUCAGGGAGCCUUGAGAGAUCGAGGUGUGCCCGAAAGGGAACCUGAACACAGGUGCUGCAUGGCUGUCGUCAGCUCGUGUCGUGAGAUGUUGGGUUAAGUCCCGCAACGAGCGCAACCCUUGUCAUUAGUUGCUACGAAAGGGCACUCUAAUGAGACUGCCGGUGACAAGCCGGAGGAAGGUGGGGAUGACGUCAAGUCCUCAUGGCCCUUACGGGUAGGGCUUCACACGUCAUACAAUGGUCGGUACAGAGGGUAGCCAACCCGAGAGGGGGAGCCAAUCUCAGAAAGCCGGUCGUAGUCCGGAUUGCAGUCUGCAACUCGACUGCAUGAAGUCGGAAUCGCUAGUAAUCGCGGAUCAGAAUGUCGCGGUGAAUACGUUCCCGGGUCU